GAAGAGGAAGGUGAGAGGAGCAUGAGAACAGUGUGUCUCUCUGAAGCUGCCGUUCGGAACUCUGUGGGUCCCUCAGGGCAACACUCAAUACGGAAAAUGCACACUGACAAGUCUAAGGACAAGUUGCAACUGUGCAGAUACAGUAAGUUUCCCAUGGAAAUCUGACUGCUGUCUCCGUUUAUUACUCUUCUCCGGCUCUGAUGCUGGAUUUUUCAAGUCUGCUUUCUGAGUGCAGGCCUCCUCUGCCAUAAGACACAAGCAGAAAGGCUGACAGCAGCAUCAUCCCUCGCACAGCUACAAUAUAAAUCAAUAAACCCA